rnacentral:rRNA from 1 species
AGUGAACGCUGGCGGUAGGCCUAACACAUGCAAGUCGAACGGCAGCACAGUAAGAGCUUGCUCUUACGGGUGGCGAGUGGCGGACGGGUGAGGAAUACAUCGGAAUCUACUUUUUCGUGGGGGAUAACGUAGGGAAACUUACGCUAAUACCGCAUACGACCUACGGGUGAAAGCAGGGGAUCUUCGGACCUUGCGCGAUUGAAUGAGCCGAUGUCGGAUUAGCUAGUUGGCGGGGUAAAGGCCCACCAAGGCGACGAUCCGUAGCUGGUCUGAGAGGAUGAUCAGCCACACUGGAACUGAGACACGGUCCAGACUCCUACGGGAGGCAGCAGUGGGGAAUAUUGGACAAUGGGCGCAAGCCUGAUCCAGCCACACCGCGUGGGUGAAGAAGGCCUUCGGGUUGUAAAGCCCUUUUGUUGGGAAAGAAAAGCAGCAGGUUAAUACCCCGCUGUUCUGACGGUACCCAAAGGAUAAGCACCGGCUAACUUCGUG